UGAGUUGCAGUGAUUAUAAACAAUUCCUCGUACUGAAUGGCAUGAUAGACAUCUUUCACCCAUAGAAUAUGAGCAACU